rnacentral:rRNA from 6 species
ACGACUCUCGGCAACGGAUAUCUCGGCUCACGCAUCGAUGAAGAACGUAGCAAAAUGCGAUACUUGGUGUGAAUUGCAGAAUCCCGUGAACCAUCGAGUUUUUGAACGCAAGUUGCGCCCGAAGCCUUUUGGCCGAGGGCACGUCUGCCUGGGCGUCA